rnacentral:rRNA from 1 species
CAGCCGCCGCGGUAAUACGUAGGGGGCAAGCGUUAUCCGGAAUUAUUGGGCGUAAAGAGUGCGUAGGUGGUCUACUAAGCGCGAGGUGAAAGGCAAUGGCUCAACCAUUGUUAGCCUUGCGAACUGGCAGACUUGAGUGCAAGAGAGGAAAGCGGAAUUCCUAGUGUAGCGGUGAAAUGCGCAGAUAUUAGGAGGAACACCGGCGGCGAAGGCGGCUUUCUGGAUUGUAACUGACACUGAGGCACGAAAGCGUGGGUAGCAAACAGGAUUAGAUACCCCGGUAGUCCCUGUCUCUUAUACA